rnacentral:hammerhead_ribozyme from 1 species
ACCCAACUGACGAGUCCCAAAUAGGACGAAACGAACGUCCCGGAU